rnacentral:tRNA from 1 species
AGCCUGUUAGCUCAACUGGUAGAGCAAUGUGCAAUUGCACAAUGAUGUGGGUUCAAAUCUACAUAGGCUA